rnacentral:rRNA from 1 species
GUCUCAAGAUUAGCCAUGCAUGUCUAAGUAUAAGCACUUGUACUGUGAAACUGCGAAUGGCUCAUUAAAUCAGUUAUCGUUUAUUUGAUUGUACCUUACUACAUGGAUACCUGUGGUAAUUCUAGAGCUAAUACAUGCGAAAAGUCCCAACUUCUGGAAGGGAUGUAUUUAUUAGAUUAAAAACCAAUGCAAGUCUUCGGGCUCGUUUUCUUGGUGAUUCAUGAUAACUUUUCGAAUCGCAUGGCCUAGAGCCGGCGAUACUUCAUUCAAAUUUCUGCCCUAUCAACUGUCGAUGGUAAGGUAGUGGCUUACCAUGGUUAUAACGGGUGACGGAGAAUUAGGGUUCGAUUCCGGAGAGGGAGUCUGAGAAACGGCUACCACAUCUAAGGAAGGCAGCAGGCUCGAAAAUUACCCAAUCCCGACUCGGGGAGGUAGUGACAAGAAAUAACGAUACGGGGUCUUAAUAGGUCUCGCAAUUGGAAUGAGUACAAUUUAAAUCCUUUAACGAGGAUCAAUUGGAGGGCAAGUCUGGUGCCAGCAGCCGCGGUAAUUCCAGCUCCAAUAGCGUAUAUUAAAGUUGUUGCAGUUAAAAAGCUCGUAGUUGGAUUUCGGAGUGGGCCAGUUGGUCCGCCGCAAGGUGUGUUACUGACUGGUUUGCUCUUCUUCGCAAAGACUGCGUGUGCUCUUGAGUGAGUGUGCGUAGAAUUUACGACGUUUACUUUGAAAAAAUUAGAGUGUUCAAAGCAGGCUAUUGCUUGAAUACAUGAGCAUGGAAUAAUGGAAUAGGACUUUGGUCCCAUUUUGUUGGUUUCUAGGGCCGAAGUAAUGAUUAAGAGGGACAAUUGGGGGCAUCCGUAUUUCGUUGUCAGAGGUGAAAUUCUUGGAUUUACGAAAGACGAACAACUGCGAAAGCACUUGCCAAGAGUGUUUUCAUUAAUCAAGAACGAAAGUUAGAGGAUCGAGACGAUCAGAUACCGUCCUAGUUCUAACCAUAAACGAUGUCGACUAGGGAUCAGCGGGCGUUAUCGUACGACCCCGUUGGCACCUUACGGGAAACCAA